GCCUGUUUGGCUCAGUGGAUAGAGCGUUGGCCUGUGAAGUGAAGGGUCCUCGGUCCGAUUCUGGUAGGAGGCA
rnacentral:tRNA from 1 species